rnacentral:snoRNA from 1 species
AUGCAUCUUUGAUAGACCUGAAGCAGUUAAUGUCUACUGGUUAAGGUUUCCACUACAGAGGCAAGAAAAAGAAAGUCCACAUGCUUUCUGUCUUGUUGUGGCAGCCAAGAUUGAACAGGGGAAUACAAGA